AGCGAACGCUGGCGGCAGGCUUAACACAUGCAAGUCGAACGCCCCGCAAGGGGAGUGGCAGACGGGUGAGUAACACGUGGGAACGUACCCUUUGGUUCGGAAUAACUCAGGGAAACUUGAGCUAAUACCGGAUAAGCCCUUAUGGGGAAAGAUUUAUCGCCGAAGGAUCGGCCCGCGUCCGAUUAGCUAGUUGGUGAGGUAACGGCUCACCAAGGCGACGAUCGGUAGCUGGUCUGAGAGGAUGAUCAGCCACACUGGGACUGAGACACGGCUCAGACUCCUACGGGAGGCAGCAGUGGGGAAUAUUGGACAAUGGGGGCAACCCUGAUCCAGCCAUGCCGCGUGAGUGAUGAAGGCCCUAGGGUUGUAAAGCUCUUUCGGCGGGGACGAUAAUGACGGUACCCGCAGAAGAAGCCCCGGCUAACUUCGUGCCAGCAGCCGCCGUAA
rnacentral:rRNA from 1 species